GAGAUGUGAUGAAUUCUUAUUUGGUCCGUGUUUCUGAAUAAACCGUGACUGAUAAAUCCAAAUCAAUUUCUGAUCUC